rnacentral:rRNA from 1 species
UACGGAGGAUGCGAGCGUUAUCCGGAUUUAUUGGGUUUAAAGGGUGCGCAGGCGGAAUGUCAAGUCAGCGGUAAAAUUUCGGGGCUCAACCCCGUCGUGCCGUUGAAACUGGCGUUCUUGAGUGAGCGAGAAGUAUGCGGAAUGCGUGGUGUAGCGGUGAAAUGCAUAGAUAUCACGCAGAACUCCGAUUGCGAAGGCAGCUUACUAAGCCAUAACUGACACUGAAGCACGAAAGCGUGGGUAUCGAACAGG